AGUACAUAACAUAUGCAGAUUUGAAGUUAGGGGUACACAUAUUAUCUUCUCUCUAAUUGCACAAGAUUUCUAGUCUUCUCUCUUUGUACAAACCUCUUUGAUCUCUAAGAUCUUGAACCAGGUUAGGUUUCUGACUAUACGAACUCCCAAAAGCCAUGAGAAAAAACGGAAAAAAAGAUUUCAGAAUCUGUAAAAGAAAAACUGAUUGGCACAUGAGUCACAAACCAUUCUACACUCCAGAGAACAUAAAACAAAAAAUCAUUGUUUUUCCUU
rnacentral:lncRNA from 1 species